CAGCCGCCGCGGUAAUACGUAGGGGGCAAGCGUUGUCCGGAUUUACUGGGCGUAAAGCGCGCGCAGGCGGCCACAUAAGUAAGGUGUGAAAUCUCCCGGCUCAACCGGGAGGGUGCACUUUAGACUGUGAGGCUUGAGGUCGGUAGAGGGGGGUGGAAUUGCUGGUGUAGCGGUGAAAUGCGUAGAGAUCAGCAGGAACACCCGUGGCGAAGGCGGCCCCCUGGGCCGAUACUGACGCUGAGGCGCGAAGGCUAGGGGAGCGACCCGGAUUAGAUACCCGGUUGGUCCUAGCAGUAAACGAUGGCUACUAGGUGUGGGGGGUGUUGACCCCUCCUGUGCCGAAGCUAACGCAUUAAGUAGCCCGCCUGGGGAGUACGGUCGCAAGACUAAAACUCAAAGGAUUUGACGG
rnacentral:rRNA from 1 species